CCUACGGGUGGCAGCAGUGAGGAAUAUUGGUCAAUGGACGAGAGUCUGAACCAGCCAAGUAGCGUGAAGGAUGACUGCCCUAUGGGUUGUAAACUUCUUUUAUAUGGGAAUAAAACAGGGUAUGCAUACCCUCUUGUAUGUACCAUAUGAAUAAGGAUCGGCUAACUCCGUGCCAGAAGCCGCGGUAAUACGGAGGAUCCGAGCGUUAUCCGGAUUUAUUGGGUUUAAAGGGAGCGUAGGUGGAUUGUUAAGUCAGUUGUGAAAGUUUGCGGCUCAACCGCGGAACUGAAUUUGAAACUGUUUUUCUUGAGUACCGGAGAGGUCAUCGGAAUUCGUGGUGUAGCGGUGAAAUGCGUAGAUAUAAGGAAGAACACCAGUGGCGAAGGCGGAUGACUGGACGGCAACUGACGGUGAGGCGCGAAAGUGUGGGUAUCAAACAGGAUUAGAUACCCGAGUAGUC
rnacentral:rRNA from 1 species